GCAGUCUGAAAAAGGAUAUGGCGUGGAGACUCUUUUGGAACAAAAUAGAUCGUGGCUCACCACGUUCCACAACCUGAAGGCAGUGGUCUGCAAGGCCUGCUCCAAGGAGAACCGACGAAUUGUAGGCAGGAUACAUUGGAACUCUCAUUACACAGGGAGGCAGGGGAGACAGGGCCACGGCUCCUACAGAUCAGGCUCCACACAUGGCCAUUCUGGGCAGUCAUGGAGAGACCAGGGUUCAGGAGGCAGACAGCAUGAGCAUGACCACUGGAGAAGAUACUAGGUGCUGUACAGGUAAAGUCCUCCCCAGCCCCUCAGUGAACCAGCAGAUGCUCUGUCUUCAUAGCUGAGGGCCAAAUAGUUAAUGUGUCUCGUGGGCCAGCUUCCCAACCGGGAUCCACCGACUUGUUUCAAGCUGUGUCUGCUUCUUCCAGAAGAGUGUGGGAAAAGGUUCAACGCCGGGACUCCGCCCUCCUUCAAGGAGUGUUUAGAGUGGCAUCACCCAGUCUCAUCAGAGGGACAGUAACUGGGACCACACUUUAAAGGAAGGAAAGAUUGCUUUUCAGUGGAUUCUCCUGCACAUACUGUAAAAAGAUCCCAUCGGUUUGUUUCAGACGUUGCUCCUGACUCCCAUGACCCAGAACACGAGACACUAACGUCAAGAAUGCUCUUCUGACCUUAGCAGGAGUCUAAUUCCAAACAUUUGCUGACUAUUAAAUUGUGAAAAUGUUUCCUCAAA
rnacentral:lncRNA from 1 species